AAUCUGUCAACUGACUCUCCCGCCAUUUCUGGCAAACUAUACAAACAAAACAAGUUCAGCGACUCGAAAACGUUCAUAUUUUUUGAAAAGUAAAUCGACCGUUACAUGGAACAAACUAAAAAACUGGCCAAAGCUCUGUUCAAGAACUCCAACAACCCCAAAUUGGCAUGGCAGCUUUUCAAACGCAUCGUUGUCUCCUCACCCAACUCAUCCAAUUCCCUCCCUCACUUCCUUCAAUCAGUUCCCCUCAUUACCCGUAUCCUUGUUCGCGCCAAAAUGUUCCCGGCGAUCGAUUCCCUCCACCGACUCCUCCUCUCUCAACCCCUCGAACAUUCCCAUACUUCUCUAAUUACAGUGGUGAAAAUCUUGGCAGAGUUUGGUUAUUCCAAUGUGGCCAUUUCUCAAUUUCAAUCCAUUCGAACCCAGUUCCCUGCUAAACCCAACUCAGUGUCUUUCUAUAAUUUGCUUAUUGAGUCUUCUCUUCGAGAGAAUUGUGUCGAUUACAUCUCGUGGUUGUACAAAGACAUGAUCUUUGCUGGGUUUUCGCCUGACACUUACACCUUUAAUCUUCUGAUAGGCCAGCUCUGUGAUUCUGGUCGUUUGGAAGAUGCCCGGAAGUUGUUUGAUAAAAUGCCUGAGAAAGGUUGUCUGCCCAAUGAGUUUAGUUUUGGAAUUUUGGUUCGUGGGUAUUGCAUAGCUGGGCUUGCUACCCAAGGUUUGGAGCUUUUGGAUGCAAUGAAGGGUAUGGGUUUUUCUCCUAACACAGUAAUAUACAAUACUUUGAUUUCAAGUUUUUGUAAGGAAGGUAAGACUGACGAAGCUGAGAAAUUGGUGGAGAGGAUGAGAGAGGAGGCUCUGUCUCCAGAUGUUGUUACAUUUAAUUCUAGGAUUGCAGCUCUUUGUAGUUCAAGAAAGAUUAUGGAAGCCUCUAGAAUUUUCAGAGAUAUGCAAAUAGAUGAAGAUUUGGGGUUGCCUCAGCCUAAUAUCAUAACAUUUAAUCUAAUGCUGCAGGGUUUUUGCAAGGAAGGAAUGUUGGAGGAAGCAAAGACCCUGGUUGAGUCUAUGAAAAGAAAUGGUGUUUUCACAAAAGUGGAGAGCUAUAAUAUAUGGUUGUUGGGUUUGGUGAGAAAUGGGAAGCCAUUAGAAGCACAAUUAAUCCUCAAAGAGAUGGCAAAAAAGGGCAUAGAGCCAAAUGUUUACUCAUAUAACAUUGUAAUGGAUGGGCUAUGCAAGAAUGGAAUGUUUGCUGACGCAAGAAUGGUAAUGGGUUUAAUGAGAGGUAGUGGAGUUCCCCCUGAUGCAGUUACUUAUAGUACUCUACUCCAUGCAUACUGUAGAAAAGGGAAGGUACUUGAAGCCAAUAACAUUUUGCAUGAGAUGGGGAGGAGUAGCUGUUAUCCAACCCGUCACACUUGCAACAUUUUGCUGCACAGCCUGUGGAAAAAGGGGAACGUAUCAGAAGCAGAAAAUUUAUUGCAAAAGAUGAAAGAGAGAGAUUAUGGCUUGGAUACUGUAACCUGUAAUAUUGUGAUUGAUGGCCUAUGUAAAAGUGGGAAGGUGGACAAAGCAAUUAAAAUUGUGAGUGAAAUGUGGAGUCACGGAAGUGACGCUCUUGGUGAUCUGGGAAAUUCAUUUAUUGGCAUAUUGGAUGAUGGUAAUAACAGGAAGAAGUGCCUGCCUGACUUGGUCUCAUAUUCGAUCAUAAUUAAUGGGUUAUGCAAGGCUGGGAGACUUGACGAAGCUAAAAAAAAGUUCAUUGAAAUGAUGGGGAAGAAUUUGUACCCUGACUCAGUUAUUUAUAAUACUUUUAUAGAUAGUUUCUGUAAAAAUGGAAAGAUAUCCUCAGCAUUCCGGGUUCUCAAGGACAUGGAGAAAAAAGGUUGCAACAAGAGCUUACAAACUUAUAAUUCUUUGAUCCUUGGGUUGGGGAGUAAAAAUCAAAUAUUUGAAAUGUAUGGACUGAUGGAUGAGAUGAAAGAAAAAGGUGUUUCUCCUAAUGUUUGCACGUACAAUAAUAUGAUUAGCUGCCUGUGUGACAUAGGGAGAAUAGAAGAUGCAACUUCUCUUUUAAAUGAAAUGUUACAAAGAGGAAUAUCCCCUAAUAUUUCUUCCUUUGGAUUCGUAAUUAAGGCUUCUAGCAAGGCAGGUGAGUUUGGAGUAGCACGAGAGGUAUUUGAUAUUGCUCGCAGCAUAUGUGGCCAUAAGGAAGCACUUUAUAGUUUGAUGUUCAACGAGUUACUUGCUGGAGGGGAUGUCUUGGGAGCCAAGGCACUAUUGGAAGCUGCAUUAGAUAGAUAUUUUGACAUAGGGAGCUUUCUCUACAAAGAUCUCAUUGACAGUCUUUGUAAGGAUGAGAAUUUGGAAGGCGCCAGUGAUAUUCUGAAAAAGAUGAUUUACAACGGAUAUGGGUUUGAUCCUGCAUCUUUCAUGCCAGUAAUUGAUGGUUUAGGUGAAAGGGGAAAUAAACGGGAGGCUGACGAACUUGCAGAGAAGAUGCUGGAGAUGGCUUCAGAGGGUAAGGUGGCAAAUAAAGUUUACCGAAAUGAGAGGGAAUUAAAUCGUGGGAAACCAAAAAAGUACGGUGGAAAUUGGCAGACCAUACUGCACAGAGAUGAAGGCAGUGGAAUAGCAGUGAAAACUCUGAAGCAGGUACAAAAAGGCUGGGGUCAAGGAAGUAUAUCAAGUCUGCAUCCGCAGAAAAAUGAUUUUUUUGAUAGCUGGGAUGGUAUUGUAUGAAAUUUAUUAAUUCAUUGAGACUGAUUCUCAAUAUCUGAUACUGGUUGGAGGGAUAGUUGAAUGCUGAAGUUGAAGCAAUGAAACAAUGAAACAUCAUUCAUCAUUAGAUCAAACGUUAGAUCAUCUCUGUCUGGACUAUCCUAUAUUCUGCUGGAUUUUGUUUUAGAAGGUGCCUCUCGACUGGUCUAUAACCGGCCCGGAACAUAUUGGUUUGCAGGUGAUUUCAGUGUCUGGUCCACCAUCAAGAUAUGCUGAGAAGUGGCUAGAAGAUCAGCAUUAUUCAUCUUUGUGCCAGGUUAAAUGUACUUGAAUAUUCACUUCCAUGUUAGUGAAUCAAAUGUGACUUUAUUCUCCUUUUUUCUUUUUUGUAUCAUAGGUUAUAUGCGUCUGACAUUUAUAGCAGUUCUCCAGUUUUUCAAUAUUUGAGGUUUAUUUGAUUCCUUCUUUAGACAAGUAGGAAAAAAUCUAUGCAAUAUCAAAGGGUGCUCAAAAUUAAUAGUUUAAUUACUUAGUGUUAAAAGAACAAUCUGCUUCUACAACACCAUAGGCCGCCACCUCUUGCUCACUGACCUCCACCGCAGCUCCAAGCUCCGUCGCUGUCAUCGUCUCCGCUGCAGCUUCAUCGCCAACCCACUGUCGGCCUUUCUGCUGCGACCUCUCCGCCGACCUCUCUCUCUCUUUCUUGCUUGCUCUUGGCUAGACGACAGACAGCGUGAUCAAUGCCGUUUUGUAUGGUUUUAUUGAAGAAAUGGAGGUGAGUGUGCAACACGUGAGUUGCAGAGGAACAGACGUCAUACACAAACUCAUCUUUAAACAAGAAAAUAGUCUGAUUCAUCUCUCCCACCAACACAUCUUUCACAUACAUACUCUGAUGCUUUUCAAGAAACCCCACUCAGCUUUCUUUUAUUUUAAUAUAUAUAUAUAUAUAUGUAUAUGUUUCUUAUAUUCUAUUACCCAACGCCAACUUUUGCACAAACCCAUACCUCUUUUUUCUUUUUUUUCUUC